AGAACGAACGCUGGCGGCAUGCCUAACACAUGCAAGUCGAACGAGACCUUCGGGUCUAGUGGCGCACGGGUGCGUAACGCGUGGGAAUCUGCCCUUGGGUUCGGGAUAACAGUUGGAAACGACUGCUAAUACCGGAUGAUGACUUCGGUCCAAAGAUUUAUCGCCCAGGGAUGAGCCCGCGUAGGAUUAGCUAGUUGGUGAGGUAAAGGCUCACCAAGGCGACGAUCCUUAGCUGGUCUGAGAGGAUGAUCAGCCACACUGGGACUGAGACACGGCCCAGACUCCUACGGGAGGCAGCAGUGGGGAAUAUUGGACAAUGGGCGAAAGCCUGAUCCAGCAAUGCCGCGUGAGUGAUGAAGGCCUUAGGUGUAAGCUCUUUACCGGGAUGAUAAUGACAGGUAACCGGAGAAUAACGCCCGACUAACUCCGUGCCAGCAGCCGAC
rnacentral:rRNA from 1 species